UGAAAGGAGUUGAAAAUACAGCUACUUCAAAAAACUGGAGACAAGGGGGUUGCAGCUAUGGUUGCCCCCAGGUAUAAACAGGGGCCGAGGAAGAUACCAAAACAACAAUUAUGGCCAAAGAGGCACGAGAAACUCCCGCUACAGAGGGAGAGCUGGUUACAGAAACCAAAGAGGCAGGAGAUAUAAGAGUAUCAUAGCAAGAAUUUUGAACAAGGUAGAAGAGGAACAGGAGUUCCAUUCUUUACAGAAACCGGUUACAUUGUGGAUUGACCAGAGCUGUCGAUUUUUCCAGGAUUGUGUUGUGUUGGAUAUAUGAAUGAACUUUAUGGACUUUGUGUCAUGAUGGAAAUGUGAAUAAUUUGAUAAUGUUGAUGGAAAGAAGAACUUUCAUUUUCGUGAUUAUGAUAAAGACGAUUAUAGAAAGUUUUGUAUUAUUGAAAUAUUUUAUGACAGCAUUAAAUGUGGAUGUUUCAAAUCUUAUAUU